rnacentral:rRNA from 1 species
UACGUAGGGUGCGAGCGUUAAUCGGAAUUACUGGGCGUAAAGCGUGCGCAGGCGGUUCUGAAAGUCAGCUGUGAAAGCCCCGGGCUCAACCUGGGAAUGGCAGUGGAUACUGGAGAGCUAGAGUGCGGUAGAGGGUAGUGGAAUUCCCGGUGUAGCAGUGAAAUGCGUAGAGAUCGGGAGGAACACCAGUGGCGAAGGCGGCUACCUGGACCAGCACUGACACUGAAGCACGAAAGCGUGGGAGCAAACAGG